UAAUAGGCUUUUUUCUGUAAACCUUAGGAAACCUUAGUUUUUUCCUGUCAAAAGCCACAACAAAUUUAAAAAGUAAACUUAU
rfam:Operophtera brumata OBRT01_Sc00601, whole genome shotgun sequence.